UUAUCACUUUCGGACAAGUGAUUUUUUGUUGCCAACCUCAAGAAUUCAGCAGUAUAUUCAUUGACACUCUUAUUUUUCUACAGACAAUAUUGGUAAGCUUUAAAUAAAUAUUGUUCAUAAUUUGGAGGUAAAAAUCUACCCCUUUAUAAUUAUUGCAUCCUCCUCCAUGAAGUGAUUGGAUUGCACCCUUCUCGCUUCCUUGUCUCUUUCAAUUGAUCCCAUCAUUCAAAAGCUCCUCCCUUUAAUCUAUAAG
rnacentral:misc_RNA from 1 species